AGCGUGGUAGCUCAGUUAGGUCGAGCGCUGGCCUCAUGAGCCAGAGGAGGCCGGGGCGGAACCGGCCCACGCUA
rnacentral:tRNA from 1 species